UUUUUUUUUUUUUUUCCCUGAGCAGUACAUCUCAACAGGAGCUUAAAAUAGUCAAUAAACGAUGCUAUAAACAUAUGCAUUAUUAUCAAGGCUUUGUUGUUCCAUUUCUAGAGCACAGAUAGAGUAGAUUUAGCAUAUUCAUUAAGGGCCCUAGAUUUUUGGCAUGGCAAUUGAGCACUGGCUUCAACUGAGAGUCACCAGUAGCAUUAGCCCCUAAGAAGAGAGUCAGCACGUCCUUGGAAGUUUUGAAGUCAGGCAUUGACUUCUCUUUAGCUAUGAAAGUCCUGCAUGGCAUCUUCUUCCAAAAGAAGAAGGCUGUUUCAUCUACCUUGAAAAUCAUUUAUUGAAGCCUCCUUCAUUCAAUGAUCAUAGCUAGAUCUUCGGAUAACUUGCUGCAGUGUCUACAUCAGCACUUGCUUCUUCACUUUGCACUUCUGUGUUAUGAAGAUGGCAUUUACCUAAGCCUAUGAACCAACAUCUGCUAGCUUCAGACUUUUCUUCCGCAGCUUCCUCACCCUUCUCAGCCUUCAUGAAAUGGAAAAGAGUUAGGGCCUUGCUCUGAAUUAAGCUUUGACUUAAGCAAGCAUUGUGUCCAUAUUGAUCUUUUCACCAGACCACUAAAACUUUCUCCAUAUCAGCAAUGAGGCUGCUUCAUUUUCUUAUCAUUCAUGUGUUCCCAGAAGUAGCACUUUAACUUUCUGUCUAGAUUUUUUUAUUUGCAUUCAAAACUUGGCUAACUGUUUGGCAAAAGACCUAACUUUUGACCCAUCUCAGCUUUUGACAUGUCUUCCUAACUGAACUUAAUCAUUUCUAGUUUUUGAUUUAAUGUGAGAGACAUGCGAUUCUUUCUUUCACUUGAACAGUUAGAGGCCAUGGUAGGGUUAUUAACUGGACUAAUUUCAGCAUUGUUAUGUCUCAGGAAACAGGAAGAACAAAGGAGAAAGAAAGAGAUGUGGAAUGGCCUGUUAGUGAAAGAGUCAGAACACACACAUUUAUUGAUUGUUUGCCAUCUUAUACGGGCAUGGUUAAUGGCAACCCAAAGGAAGCAUAAUAGUAACAUAAAAUAUAACUGAUCACAGAUUAUCAUAACAGAUAUAAUAAUGAAAAAGAUUGAGUUAUUAUGAGAAGCACAAAAUCUCUUUGUGACAUUUUGGUCUAUGGGUGCCAUGUUUUCCCAUAGCCUGUGUUAUUCCAAUAGCACAGGCUAUUGGAAAAAAAUGGCACCCAUAGACUUGCUCAUUACCACAAACCUUCAAUUUGUAAAAGAAAAUGCAAUACUUGGAAUAGGAACAGCUCCAGUCUCCAACUCCCAGUGUGAGCGACACAGAAGACCGGUGAUUUCUGCAUUUUCAACUGAGGUACUGGGUUCAUCUCACUGGAGAGUGCCGGACGAUCGGUGCUGGUCAGCUGCUGCAGCCCGACCAGCGAGAGCUGAAGCAGGUCGAGGCAUUGCCUCACCAGGGAAGCGCAAGGGGGAAGGGAAUCCCUUUCCUAGCCAGGGGAACUGAGACACACAACACCUGGAAAAUCGGGUAACUCCCACCCCAAUACUGCACUUUAAGCAAACAGGCACACCAGGAGAUCAUAUCCCACACCUGGCCGGGAGGGUCCCAGACCCAUGGAGCCUCCCUCAUUGCUAGCACAGCAGUCUGUGAUCUACCGGCAAGGCAGCAGCGAGGGCUGGGGAGGGGCGCCCGCCAUUGCUGAGGCUUAAGUAGGUAAACAAAGCUGCUGGGAAGCUCGAACUGGGUGGAGCUCACAGCAGCUC
ensembl:lncRNA